UCUUCUGUGUGUGAUGACUACACUUUUUUCCCCAUCAGAUCGACAGUGUUGACUAAAACCUGAUUUAAGCCAAAUGAGUCUGAUGCAGAGAG
rfam:Xenopus laevis strain J chromosome 9_10S, whole genome shotgun sequence.